GACGAACGCUGGCGGCGUGCUUAACACAUGCAAGUCGAACGGAAAGGCCCUGCUUGCAGGGUACUCGAGUGGCGAACGGGUGAGUAACACGUGGGUGAUCUGCCCUGCACUUCGGGAUAAGCCUGGGAAACUGGGUCUAAUACCGGAUAGGUGCCAUUUUUAGUGUGAUGGUUGGAAAGUUUUUUCGGUGUAGGAUGAGCUCGCGGCCUAUCAGCUUGUUGGUGGGGUAAUGGCCUACCAAGGCGGCGACGGGUAGCCGGCCUGAGAGGGUGGACGGCCACAUUGGGACUGAGAUACGGCCCAGACUCCUACGGGAGGCAGCAGUGGGGAAUAUUGCACAAUGGGCGCAAGCCUGAUGCAGCGACGCCGCGUGGGGGAUGACGGCCUUCGGGUUGUAAACUCCUUUCGCUAGGGAAGAAGCUUUUUGUGACGGUACCGAGAUAAGAAGCACCGGCAAACUACGU
rnacentral:rRNA from 1 species